GGGGAAUAUUGCACAAUGGGCGAAAGCCUGAUGCAGCGACGCCGCGUGAGGGAUGACGGCCUUCGGGUUGUAAACCUCUUUCAGCAGGGAAGAAGCGAAAGUGACGGUACCUGCAGAAGAAGCGCCGGCUAACUACGUGCCAGCAGCCGCGGUAAUACGUAGGGCGCAAGCGUUGUCCGGAAUUAUUGGGCGUAAAGAGCUCGUAGGCGGUUAGUCGCGUCUGCUGUGAAAACUCGAGGCUCAACCUCGGGCUUGCAGUGGGUACGGGCUGACUAGAGUGCGGUAGGGGUGACUGGAAUUCCUGGUGUAGCGGUGGAAUGCGCAGAUAUCAGGAGGAACACCGAUGGCGUAGGCAGGCUACUGGCUCGUCCCUGACACUAAGGCACGAAAGCGUGGGGAGCGACCG
rnacentral:rRNA from 1 species